GACAAAGGGGGCAAGCGUUGUCCGGAGUUACUGGGCGUAAAGGGCGCGGAGGCGGUCUGCGGCGUCGGCGCUGAAAGCGCCCCGCUUAACGGGGCGAGGCGUGCCGAUACGCGCAGACUUGAGGCGAGGAGAGGGUGGUGGAAUUCCGGGUGGAGCGGUGAAAUGCGUAGAGAUCCGGAGGAACGCCAGUGGGGAAGCCGGCCUCCUGGGCUCGGCGUGACGGUGCGGCGCGAUCGCGUGGGGAGCAAACCGG
rnacentral:rRNA from 1 species